AGCUCCCCCUCCGCCCCUGACCCGGGCCGCUGCCCCGCUGGGCCACCUGCUCCCACCCGCGAAGCCCCCAGCCCGCCAGCCCCGCCGGCCCCUGCACUCGCCGCGCGCACCCCGCAGUCCUCGUGCCCUGGCCCGCGGCGCCACACACAGCCCCGACGACCUUGAAGACCGCGCGUAACUAUCCCGCUCCUCGGAAUCCCGGCUCACUGGACAAUCCUCACGAGCCGGCCGUGCCGUGACAGACCUGGCGUCGGAACUGGACUUGAGCCGGAAGGACGCACAUUACGUCCUGGGCUGGACGCCCCCGGAGACGGUCGCCGAAGAGCCUUUGAUGAUGGUGACCUCAGAUAAUGGUUUCUUUUUCAGUUGGUCUUAUGGAAAAGGACAAGAUAGCAUCAUUUUAACUCAAGGAAGAAUUCACAGCCUUUUCCGCUCUAUUAAACCGAUGUCCUGAUAAGAGCGGAAACUUUAUGCAUCUCUCCUUUUUUUUCCAUCAUGUACAAAGAAGCAAUAUCUCAUCAUGUGACUAUUCGCAUAUGUGGUUUAAAAUUGUUAAAUAUAGACAAGAUCAGCAUCCUUUCCUCCUUGGUUUAAGUGCGGGAAGGGAAGAAGUCCUGAGAAAGUCUGAGAACAGCUCCUCUGGGUGAGGAUGCAGUGCCUGGGGCUGCUGCUGCCAUCUUGUGACCACAAGAGGAGCCGCCAACACAGUGAGGACAGUGGAGCAGAGAGAAGCCUGGGUCACUGACCGUCAGAAAUAGCCAAACGGGGUCUCCAGUUGUUCCAGCACCAUCUGUUUAAAAGACUUUCUUUUCCCUGUGAUCUUGUCAAAAUUCAACUGAACAUACAUGUAUGGAUCUAUUUCCUAGGUUUCCAGGUGCUGACAGGGUGAGGGGAGGCUGGAACCCUCCUGAAGAAAAGGCACCUUUUUCUUUACCCAAAAGCACUAACCAGCAGCAAAGCCAUGUUCCUGCCACCUUUUUCUAAGUUGCAAAAUGACACCGUACGUGGCAGCUCUGAGCUUCCCAUUUGUAAGGUUUCCUCUCAGAAGCAGGAUGGCAGUGGAAAGGAGAGUUUUGGGUCACGUGUUUGUAAGGCACUAGGUUGACUAGCAGCCACAUAAUGAAUGCUGGGGAGACCCUCAUCUGACCCCCUGACUUGCCAUUCCUGAGGUUCCUCAAGUCAGCUUUCAAAUCCUCUCCCAGAGUGGCUCCUUCAUGACAGGUCUUCUCCAACUUUAAUGUGUGUAAAAUUCAUCUGGGACACUCACUGAAAUGCAGAUUCAUCAGAAUCAUCAGCUAGUUUGGAAUGGGCUCCCAGGCUGAGGCCAAUGCCUUUGAUCUGGGAACUACCCUUGGUUUAUCAGGGCUCCAGAGCCUUCUAGACUCUUAUGACAGUGGCAGAACAGGAAUUGGGGGCUCCCCCAAAGAAAGCUGGCUACUGGAGGAAAAGGUACUUCCUCCAUGGGGCCACCGCUUCUCUGAGUGGAUUGUGAACUCACAUGGGCAUGUCCUAGAACACUCUAGCUUAGCGGCCACCAAAAUUUGGCUUUCUGGGAAGAAGAUGCCUGUACCAUGGAGAUUCUGAGGCGCCUGGCUACACAGAGAGGAAGGUCCAGAGGGGAAGGGGAAGAGCAAUCUUUUCAUGAGCCUGAGUCCAUGGGAGUUUGGGGGCUUUGGGAGUGCUGAGGAUUUCUAAGAACGGGUGGGUGCUCACCUGGAGAUUGUCAACGAAAAGACUCCCUACCCCUGAGGUGAAAUGAUUUUAAAAUAACCUCGACCAGUCAACUUCUUGUGCAUUUGGAAGCCCUUUUACAAGGCUUUGCCACCUGGCAAUGUGUGGAUCUCAAGAUCAGCUGUUAGAAAUGAUACUAAAAAAACAAACAAACAAUAAAACUUGUUUGAAGAGUUAA